CAUCCAACAGCUCAUCCUCAGGGGACAAGAAGAGGAAGAAGAAGGGGAAAGGGAGAAAGAAGCUAUCCAAGAGGGUUAAAAUGGAAAAAACACUGCAAAGAGCCCGGAAUCCCGAGCAGGCUUUGGCCCGGUACAAAAAGAUUCUUAAAUGCUACAAGAGGCUUGGAACCAUGUCUGGGGCAUUUCGAAAGGUCGGUGUUGACCGUAAUACAGUGGUGGUCAAUGCACCAAUCGCCGAGCUUUCCAUUGCUGCCCCAGACCAGUACAAGGAAGCUUUGAAAACGUAUACCCAUUCCACAAAAUUGAAAGCAUUUGCGGAACACUGUGCCUUGACAAUUCUAGGCGAUGUAGAAAUAGUUGACGCAGUCAACACGCUUAAAGCCAGUGGUAAGCUGCUACCACUGAAAAAGAAAUAAUUAUGUGCAUUUUGUAUUAUGCUUUACAAGUGUUCCUGUAAAGUAAUUUUUACAUUUUCUGUACAAUACCACUGUUCAUAUUUUAUCUGUAUUUUUUUGUUGUGUGUUCUUUGUUGAAAAGAAGAAUUUAUGUAGUUUAAAAUAAAUAUUUGUACGUUUUCAGCACUUCA